GACGAACGCUGGCGGCGUGCUUAACACAUGCAAGUCGAGCGAUGAAGCUCCUUCGGGAGGGGAUUAGCGGCGGACGGGGGAGUAACACGUGGGCAACGUGCCUUAUAGAGAGGAAUAGCCAUCCGAAAGGAUGAUUAAUACCUCAUAAUAUUGUAGCUUCGCAUGGAGCAACAAUCAAAGGAGCAAUCCACUAUAAGAUGGGCCCGCGGCGCAUUAGCUAGUUGGUGAGGUAACGGCUCACCAAGGCGACGAUGCGUAGCCGACAUGAGAGGGUGAUCGGCCACAUUGGGACUGAGACACGGCCCAGACUCCUACGGGAGGCAGCAGUGGGGAAUAUUGCACAAUGGGGGAAACCCUGAUGCAGCAACGCCGCGUGAGUGAUGACGGCCUGCGGGUUGUAAAGCUCUGUCUUCAGGGACGAUAAUGACGGUACCUGAGGAGGAAGCCACGGCUAACUACGUGCCAGCAGCCGCCGUAACAC
rnacentral:rRNA from 1 species